rnacentral:misc_RNA from 1 species
AACGGUCUAUACCUGCGGUACCUGCGGAGGGAUCAUUAUUGAGACUGGGUUUGCUCCGGCAGCCCGACCUCCAACCCCUUGUCUAUCUACCUUUGUUGCCUCCGGUGUCUUGGGCCUCACGGCCCUCGCCCGGGAAAGGCUCUCAAUUAAACCCUUUAUGUUUUAAACCAUGUCUUCUGAGAAAAUAUUUUAAUAAACUUAAAACUUUCAACAAUGGAUCUCUAGAUCGGAAGAGCACAC